GAUGAACGCUGGCGGCGUGCCUAAUACAUGCAAGUCGAGCGAACAGACGAGGAGCUUGCUCCUCUGACGUUAGCGGCGGACGGGUGAGUAACACGUGGAUAACCUACCUAUAAGACUGGGAUAACUUCGGGAAACCGGAGCUAAUACCGGAUAACAUGUUGAACCGCAUGGUUCAACAGUGAAAGACGGUCUUGCUGUCACUUAUAGAUGGAUCCGCGCCGCAUUAGCUAGUUGGUAAGGUAACGGCUUACCAAGGCAACGAUGCGUAGCCGACCUGAGAGGGUGAUCGGCCACACUGGAACUGAGACACGGUCCAGACUCCUACGGGAGGCAGCAGUAGGGAAUCUUCCGCAAUGGGCGAAAGCCUGACGGAGCAACGCCGCGUGAGUGAAGAAGGUCUUCGGAUCGUAAAACUCUGUUAUCAGGGAAGAACAAAUGUGUAAGUAACUAUGCACGUCCUGACGGUACCUAAUCAGAAAGCCACGGCUAACUACGUG
rnacentral:rRNA from 1 species